AGUGAACGCUGGCGGUAGGCCUAACACAUGCAAGUCGAACGGCAGCACAUUAUACUCUUGCUCUUACGGGUGGCGGCUGACGGACGGGUGACGCAUACAUCGGAUUCUACUUUUUCGUGGAGGAUAACUUAGGGAAACUUCCGCUACUACCUCAUACCACUUACCGCUGAAAUCAGGGUAUCUUCGUACCUUUCCCUCUUUAAUGAGUCCUUGUCGGAUUAGCUAGUUGGUGGGGUAAAGGCACACUAAGGCGACGAUUCAUAGCUGGUCUGAGAGGAUGAUCAGCCACACUGGAACUGAGACACGGUCCAGACUCCUACGGGAGGCAGCAGUAGGGAAUAUUCGACAAUGGGCGAAAGCCUGACCCAGCCAUACCGCGUGAGUGAAGAAGGCCUUCGGAUUGUAAAACCCUUUUGUUAGGAAAGAAAAUCAGCAAGUUAAUACCCCGCUUUACUGACGGUACCCAAACAAUAAGCACCGGCUAACUUCGUG
rnacentral:rRNA from 1 species